UCGUUCUGUUGUUGGUCUGCCAUGUUGGCCUUGCUAUCGAUGUAGCUGCCAGCCUUCAUACACCAGUGCCACAGUCGGCUUAAGAACAAGCAAGUAUAAGCUGUUGGCUUUCCCAGUGAAGAUGGUGAUUUAUCGCCUGGUUCUCGGUGUUUUGAAACACUCACGGUCAUCACUCACUCAUUAUCCGAUGAAGGAGACCUGCUCUUUAUCAACGUUUGCUACGCAUACUUCAGAUAAGCCCAAAAAAGCCAAUCUAGUGCUCCAAAAUGGCAGCCGCUUCCAAGGUUACUCAUUUGGUUAUGAGAGCCCUGCAUCAGGGGAGGUUGUUUUCAACACUGGACUCGUCGGAUAUCCCGAAGCACUGACUGAUCCAAGUUACAGAGGUCAGAUUCUAACACUUACCUACCCAAUCAUCGGCAACUAUGGAGUUCCGGACACAGAACUACUUGACUGUUAUGGACUUCGGAGAUAUGUAGAGUCGGAGAAUAUCCAAGUGAGUGGUCUGAUUGUUCAGGACUACACCGACCAACAUAGCCACUGGAAUGCUGUGAAAUCUUUGUCCCAGUGGCUGAAGGAAGAACACAUCCCUGCCCUGUAUGGUAUCGACACGCGGAUGAUUACAAAGAUAAUCAGAGAUGAGGGGACUAUUCUUGGUAAUAUUGAGUUUGAUGGAAGGGAGGUGGAAUUUGAUGACCCUAAUCUUCGCAAUCUGAUGGCUGAAGUUUCCACAAAGGAGAUACGUGUUUACGGCAAAGGAAAUCCCAUCCGCAUCUUGGCCUUGGAUUGUGGCGUGAAACACAACAUGUUGCGGAAUCUUGUCAAGAGAGGAGCAGAGGUCCGACUGGUGCCCUGGGAUUAUGACUUUACGAACGACGCCUAUGAUGGAUUAUUUAUUUCUAAUGGCCCCGGUGAUCCGUCUUUGUCUCUGGAAGCAAUCCAUCAUGUCCAAAAGGUUCUGGAGAGCAGGCCUGAGCCGGUAUUCGGAAUCUGUAUGGGCAACCAAAUUACAGCACUUGCUGCCGGUGCAAAGUCCUACAAAUUACCACUUGGCAACAGGGGCCACAACCAGCCUGUUGUAAACGUCGUUACCAAGCAGGCUUUCAUUACAUCCCAGAACCACGGCUUUGCGAUAGACAGUGAGACUCUCCCAGAGGACUGGGGGGUUCUCUUCGUUAAUGCAAACGAUGGCACAAAUGAGGGUGUCAUGCACAACACCAAACCGAUUUUUACAGCGCAGUUUCACCCUGAGGCCUAUGGAGGACCAACAGACACAGAGUUCCUCUUUGACUACUUCCUGGACCUGAUCAAGACAAAGGAGAAGUACGUAGUGAAUGUCAUGCCUAGCUUCAAGGCCAGACCACAACCCGCGAAGAUGUCCAAAGUUCUUGUGCUAGGCAGUGGUGGGUUGUCAAUUGGACAGGCAGGGGAAUUUGACUACAGCGGUACACAAGCAAUUAAAGCUUUGAAGGAGGAAGACGUGAACACCAUCUUGAUGAACCCCAACAUAGCCUCUGUACAGACUAACGCAGAAGGAGAGAAGCAAGCCGACUCUGUGUACUUCUUGCCAAUUACUCCUGACUUUGUGAGCGAGGUGAUCAGGAGAGAGAGGCCGGAUGGCAUCCUUCUGUCCAUGGGUGGCCAGACCGCCCUCAACUGCGGAGUUGAACUUCAUCGCCAAGGGAUCCUUGAUGAAUAUGGAGUUAAAGUUCUCGGUACCCAGAUAGACAGUAUUAAAGCGACUGAAGACCGGGAGAUAUUUGCUUCCAACCUGAAACAGAUCAAUGAAAAAUUGGCACCUAGCCGCGCCGUUAACAGCCUGAACGCAGCAUUGGCGGCAGCUGACCAUAUCGGCUACCCGGUGAUGGUGAGGGCCGCUUAUGCACUUGGUGGAUUGGGGUCGGGAGUAGCACGUGAUGAAGCCAGUCUUAAGAAGAUUACCUCUGCUGCUCUUGCUGUUACCAGCCAAAUUUUGAUAGAAAAGUCACUAGUUGGAUGGAAGGAAGUAGAGUACGAGGUUGUGAGAGACGCCUUCGACAACUGUAUCACUGUCUGCAACAUGGAAAACCUUGAUCCACUUGGCAUACAUACAGGAGACUCCAUUGUUGUUGCCCCAAGUCAGACUUUGUCAAAUGAAGAAUACCAUAUGCUGCGCGAGACAGCAAUUAAGGUUGUUCGUCACUUUGGCAUCGUUGGAGAGUGCAACAUCCAGUAUGCCCUCCAUCCCCAGUCUAUGGAAUAUUGUAUCAUCGAGAUCAAUGCAAGGUUAUCAAGAAGUUCGGCUCUCGCAUCUAAAGCAACAGGGUAUCCUCUGGCAUUUAUAGCAACGAAACUUGCUCUUGGCAUUGACCUCCCAAGCCUUCAAAACACCACGACCCAAAUGACCACCGCUUGCUUCGAGCCAAGCCUUGAUUACAUAGUAACGAAGAUUCCUCGCUGGGAGAUGGAAAGGUUCCAGCAUGUGUCAAAGGAGAUUGGAAGUGCUAUGAAAAGUGUUGGAGAAGUCAUGGCAAUAGGAAGGACAUUUGAGGAAAGUCUCCAGAAAGCGCUGCGAAUGACACACCCAUCUUGUAUGGGGUUUACAGAGCGCUUGCCAGGGGGAAAACAGUACCCUGCAGAUUUUGAUAUUGACUCAAACUUGCAAAUGCCUAACAACACAAGGAUUCACACAAUAGCGAAGGCCCUUCAAGUCGGCUACACAGUGGACAAAAUACACUCCCUUACCAACAUAGACCGAUGGUUUCUCAACAAACUUCUGGGCAUUAUUGAUGUAGAGAGGAGACUGGAGAAUGUUCAAAAGGCAGAUGUCAAUGCAGAGCUCAUGUUAUGUUUGAAACAGAUGGGAUUUUCGGACAAGCAGAUUGGCUACAUGUUGGGAAUUCAUGAGGCGGAGUGCCGCAGCAUGCGACUGUCUAUGUCAGUAAAACCGUGGAUGAAACAGAUAGACACGCUGGCAGCUGAAUAUCCGGCCCAAACCAACUACCUGUAUUGCACCUAUAAUGGCAUGGAACAUGAUGUAUCCUUCAAGGAUCAUGGCUGCAUGGUUUUGGGAUGCGGCCCGUAUCACAUCGGAAGCAGCGUUGAAUUCGAUUGGUGCGCCGUUUCCUGCAUCAGAACACUGCGGGAUCUUGGAAAGAAAACAGUUGUUGUGAACCAUAAUCCGGAAACUGUCAGCACCGAUUUUGAUGAAUGUGACCGUCUCUACUUCGAAGAAUUGUCUUUGGAAAGGGUACUGGACAUCAACGAACAAGAGCGCUGUGAAGGAGUUAUAGUAUCUGUCGGUGGACAAAUCCCCAACAACUUGGCCCUUCCUCUUCACAAGAGAGGAGUGCGAAUCCUGGGUACAAGCGCACUCAUGAUAGACAACGCUGAAAAUAGACCAGUGUUUUCCGCUAUAUGUGACACUCUUAGCAUCCGCCAGCCUGAGUGGAGGUCCCUCACCAAACUGGAUGAAGCUUUAGACUUUGCUGCAACUGUUGGAUACCCUUGUUUGUUGAGGCCAUCCUACAUUCUCAGUGGCUCAGCAAUGAAUGUGGCGUACACACCUGAGGAGUUGAACGGAUACCUGCAAGAAGCAGCGCAGAUUUCAAACGAAUACCCAGUUGUCAUAACAAAAUUCUACACUGGAUCUCGUGAAGUUGAGAUGGAUGCGAUUGCUUCUGAUGGAGUUAUUGUUAGCCAUGCUGUAAGUGAACAUGUGGAGAACGCUGGUGUUCACAGUGGUGAUGCGACAUUGAUUCUGCCGACACAAACAAUAAGUGAAGAAGCCCUGACUGUGAUCCGUGACAUCACAGAAAAGAUUGCAAUGCACUUUUUGAUUUCUGGGCCAUUCAAUAUUCAGUUUCUUGUGAAGGACAGUGAUGUGAAGGUCAGUGCAGGCCAAAGCCCAGAAGACGGGGCUGACCAACAGAAAGAGGAAUAAACAAAGAUGAUCUGGUUAUUUUGACGCCAUCCAACAAACUAGAGACUAUUCAUCUGUAUUUCGUCAUAGAACUGAAUCUGAGAGCAUCUCGUUCUUUUCCCUUUGUUUCGAAGACGAUUGGGACAGAUUUCAUAGAAAUAGGAACCAAAGUCAUGCUUAAUAAGCCGAUAAAUUUGGAAAAGCUACCAACUCUG
rnacentral:misc_RNA from 1 species